UACAUGGGGUGCAAACGUUGCUCGGAAUCAUUGGGCGUAAAGCGCGCGUAGGCGGUUACUUAAGUCGAAUGUGAAAGCCCUCGGCUUAACCGAGGAAGUGCAUCCGAAACUGAGUAGCUAGAGUACGAAAGAGGGUCGCGGAAUUCCCGGUGUAGAGGUGAAAUUCGUAGAUAUUCGCAAGAACACCAGUGGCGAAGGCGGCUCACUGGCCCGAUACUGACGCUGAGGCACGAAAGCGUGGGGAGCAAACAGG
rnacentral:rRNA from 1 species